CAGCCAGCAUGAAAGUGCCAUCAAAUGUCUUACCAAGCAGGUGUUAGUACCAAGGAGCAGUAACAGGCUCAUCUUUGCAAGAUUAGCAGUCUGGAAGCGAUCAAAGACCUAAAUGUAUCAAACAACUAGUUUGCAUCUUUUCCUUCUGAUACAUGUCAUCUUUCUUCACUGGAGACAUUGACAGUGUGUCGAAUGAAUGGGUGGAAGAUGUGGUUAUGAUCCUUUCCAAGGGCUGGUUUUCUUCAGACCAGGAGCAAAAAGUAUGUGAUCUUAUGUCCGUUUCUCAAAGAGCUUUAUUUUCCACAAUAAUUGGACAACAGUUGAAGUUCCAAGAAGGAAAAUAAAAAUCAGAAAAGACCAAAGUAAGAACAGAACCAAAAAGAAGAAAAUGGUGUGUUUAAAUUCCUUGUGGCUGAAGAAAACAGAAAAUAAAAUUAGAGUGUUCUGAGAGGGUAAAAUUUUUCAUUAAUGAUAACAAUGACCAAAAGAACUUGUAGAGCUCCAGCUGUGGAGGUAUUAUUCUACUGCAUGUUUUUUAUUGCCUUUCUGUUGUCAUGUCUAAAAAGCUUCCCUGCAAAUUUCUGUGCUCAGCAUUCGUAUUUUUAUUGGAAAAUACCAAAUUA